AUUGAACGCUGGCGGCAGGCCUAACACAUGCAAGUCGAGCGGCGGACGGGCGGGUGAGUCAUGGCUGGGAAACUGCCUGAGGGAGGGGAAGAACUGCUGGAAACGGUAGCUACUCACGCAUACCAUCGGAUGUGCGCAGGUGGGAUUAGCUAGUGGGUGGGGUAACGGCGCACCCAGGGGACGAUCCCUAGCUGGUCUGAGAGGAUGACCAGCCACACUGGAACUGAGACACGGUCCAGACUCCUACGGGAGGCAGCAGUGGGGAAUAUUGCACAAUGGGCGCAAGCCUGAUGCAGCCAUGCCGCGUGUGUGAAGAAGGCCUUCGGGUUGUAAAGCACUUUCAGUGGGGAGGCGUUACCCGCAGAAGAAGCACCGGCUAACUCCGUGCCAGCAGCCGCGGUAAUAC
rnacentral:rRNA from 1 species